rnacentral:lncRNA from 1 species
UAAAAAUAAGAAGAUGUGGUAUGAGUACCAAUGAGACAACUCUUAAUCAAAGUCACAAUGUAAGUAUGGACGGAAAAGUAACUGCAAUUAUAUGAUAUGCAUUGUUCUUUUCAAUUUGAAAGAAUUACAUUACGAAUGUUAAGUAGAAUCCGUACUUCUCAUUGGCUGAUAACCAUCUACAGUCAUUCGAAAAUUAUAUUU